rnacentral:rRNA from 1 species
AUAUUGGGCAAUGGGCGCAAGCCUGACCCAGCAACGCCGCGUGAGCGAAGAAGUAUUUCGGUAUGUAAAGCUCUAUCAGCAGGGAAGAAACUGACGGUACCUGACUAAGAAGCACCGGCUAAAUACGUGCCAGCAGCCGCGGUAAUACGUAUGGUGCAAGCGUUAUCCGGAUUUACUGGGUGUAAAGGGAGCGUAGACGGAUAGGCAAGUCUGGAGUGAAAGCCCGGGGCUCAACCCCGGGACUGCUUUGGAAACUGUUUAUCUAGAGUGCUGGAGAGGUAAGUGGAAUUCCUAGUGUAGCGGUGAAAUGCGUAGAUAUUAGGAGGAACACCAGUGGCGAAGGCGGCUUACUGGACAGUAACUGACGUUGAGGCUCGAAAGCGUGGGGAGCAAACA